rnacentral:rRNA from 1 species
CCUACGGGUGGCAGCAGUGAGGAAUAUUGGUCAAUGGACGAGAGUCUGAACCAGCCAAGUAGCGUGAAGGAUGACUGCCCUAUGGGUUGUAAACUUCUUUUAUAUGGGAAUAAAAUGUUCCACGUGUGGGAUUUCGUAUGUAACAUAUGAAUAAGGAUCGGCUAACUCCGUGUCAGCAGCCGCGGUAAUACGGAGGAUGCGAGCGUUAUCCGGAUUUAUUGGGUUUAAAGGGAGCGUAGGUGGAUUGUUAAGUCAGUUGUGAAAGUUUGCGGCUCAACCGUACAAUUGCAGUUGAAACUGGCAGUCUUGAGUGCAGUAGAGGUGGGCGGAAUUCGAGGUGUAGCGGUGAAAUGCGUAGAUAUCACGAAGAACUCCGAUGGCGAAGGCAGCUCACUGGACUGCAACUGACACUGAGGCUCGAAAGUGUGGGUAUCAAACAGGAUUAGAUACCCUAGUAGUC